UACGGGGGGGGCAAGCGUUGUUCGGAAUUACUGGGCGUAAAGGGUUUGUAGGUGGCCGGCUAAGUCAGACGUGAAAUCCCUCAGCUUAACCGGGGAACUGCGUCUGAAACUGAUCGGCUCGAGUGCAGGAGAGGAACGCGGAAUUCCAGGUGUAGCGGUGAAAUGCGUAGAUAUCUGGAGGAACACCGGUGGCGAAGGCGGCGUUCUGGACUGCAACUGACACUGUAAAACGAAAGCCAGGGGAGCAAACGGG
rnacentral:rRNA from 1 species